rnacentral:rRNA from 1 species
GAUGAACGCUGGCGGCGUGCCUAAUACAUGCAAGUCGAGCGAACGGACGAGAAGCUUGCUUCUCUGAUGUUAGCGGCGGACGGGUGAGUAACACGUGGAUAACCUACCUAUAAGACUGGGAUAACUUCGGGAAACCGUAGCUAAUACCGGAUAAUAUUUUGCACCGCAUGGUUCAAAAGUGAAAGACGGUCUUGCUGUCACUUAUAGAUGGAUCCGCGCUGCAUUAGCUAGUUGGUAAGGUAACGGCUUACCAAGGCAACGAUGCAUAGCCGACCUGAGAGGGUGAUCGGCCACACUGGAACUGAGACACGGUCCAGACUCCUACGGGAGGCAGCAGUAGGGAAUCUUCCGCAAUGGGCGAAAGCCUGACGGAGCAACGCCGCGUGAGUGAUGAAGGUCUUCGGAUCGUAAAACUCUGUUAUUAGGGAAGAACAUAUGUGUAAGUAACUGUGCACAUCUUGACGGUACCUAAUCAGAAAGCCACGGCUAACUACGUG